AUCCACUUUGAACCGCACACCGGACACGCAUACACACGCCCACUCGCUCACACUCUCAAAACCUCAGCCUCAAGCCAGGGAACAAUCUGCACCGCGAACUACGGGUGUCAAUCCCAGAACGACCAUUCGUUACCAGGAGACAACCCGACUGAUAAAUCAUCAAAGGGAUUUAACUCACUAAAAUGGAGACUCCAAGCAAUUGCAAAAGACGUGGAACUGACAGAGUAAAAGGUAGAAAACAGAAGAUACACGUUCAUUUAGGAAUACAACGCUGCCGCGGUGUAGUGGCGUCUAAAUCCCGCACUGAAACAGAGUCGCCAGGUGAGCGGCUUUCCCGCCCAGCCGCAGCCGGGGUGUUGUUGAACCCGCCAGCAGGAUGGUACGGACACAGUAGCUUUCAGAAUGAAUUUACUUUUAAGCCUGGGAAGGAAAAAUAUGGAGCAAAAUAAAGACAAAACCUGCAGGGGAAGCAUUAUAUAUACAUAUAUAUAUUGUGAUGGAUGGCCAGGAUCAUUACCCAGCCAGAACACCAUAUGGUUGGAAGGAACGAUGGAGAGAACCUCUUUGGGACAGUAUCCUUCCUGGGACACUAGAGAGGAGCCCCCCUAGGUUGUUACUGCACCACGGGUCACUGCAGGACAUGCCAGGAAUUCGUAGUUUGGAGUAGCCCUCUUCGGGUCCAUGGGUGCCGCCAGGGGGUGCUGCAGCUACAACUGAACCCUUUGGAGCACCACUUCUGUCACACCCAGAAGUGCAGUCAGAUGAAGGUCAAGAAAAACCUGGGGCACGUCCAGGUGCAUUAUAAAAGGAGCUGCUUCACCAUCAUUCAGCAAGCCAGAGUCGGGAGGUGGAGAAUAAAGCUUGUGAGAGGAGGAGUGGAGACUGAGAGAAAGAAAGAACUGUGUGUUGUUUGGUAGUUUGUACUGUGUUGUGCAGUGGGGGGCAAAAGAAAAAUGCUUCUCCACUUAAAAGGUGUGCAAUUUAAUUUGUCAAGACUUAUGUCUCAGCCUGUCUGUGUCGGGUUUGGAGAGCAGUACGUCCUCUGGUGGUCCACAAUAUAUAUUGUAUAUACAUUCAUAUCUGUGUGUAAAUGUUUUUAUGUAACGAGUAAAUGGUAAGCCAAACACAACUCUGCUGUAUAAUAAUGUACAUCUUAGGCAGUGUUCCCUGUAAAAUAUUUUAAGAAUUACACAGUUCAUUUGAUUGCACUUUCUGCAAAAUAAAAAAUGUUAUGGUUUGA